rnacentral:lncRNA from 1 species
CUCGCACUCACUCAGAAUUAUAGUUAUUUAGCACAGACAUCACGUAGAUUGCAUGGCCAUUACCAUGNAUAAUACAUCCAUGUCAUAGGGUAGAGAGAGUUUAAUCUGUUCAAUGGGUAACAGAUUUUGCACUCUAUUGAAAAGCAAUUGAGUUGUAGAUGUUGAUUGACCAAUUGUGUUCUGAAUUUGAUUGGAAAGUACACUUUGUACACUCAUAACCAUAAGAGUACAUCUCAUUUUGAAGAAGAUACCUUGUUCCCCACCCUUUCACCAAAAUGCCCUCUUGGAAGAAGACCAUGACAGCACCCAUCAAUAUCUCUGUUAUUCUUU